ACUUAUUGAAUCCUCAUAAUCUAAAUCAUCAUGAUAAUCAUCAUCACUAUUUUCAACGGACAUGCCCUCUUUUUCAGGAUGUAGAUGUUCGUCCUCUUGUUCAGCAAGUAAUUUUAACUUAGCCUCAUCUUCAGGAAUUGGUUGAGAUUCACAUCUUCGCUGAUGUUCGGAUUUAAUUUGGGCAACUCUCACAUUGUAGGAAUUAAUUUGACGUUGAUACUCUUCCAGGCGAGUUGAAUAAUUUGCUCGUCUCGCGUUAAUUUCAUCAACCCAUGGUUGUUUACCUAAACUAUCCAAGGCUCGCCAUGUCUUUCCCAAUUUUGCACGUAUCUCAUUUUUUGUGGCACGUGCUUCAGGAUCGCCAGUAACUCUUUGUUUAUCCUGAUCUGCUAGAGUUUUACAAACGUGCCAUUGAGUUUUUUGGUACAAAAGGUAAGGAUUAGCACUAGGCCUUGAUGGUGGAACAGGAGACGGUCCCAAUAAUUCGGCAAUUAGUAAAUCACAUUCUUGCUGUUCUUUAUCAAGUCUUUUUUGUCUCAAGCGUAAAUACUCGGUAUGGUAUGAAAUGCGCUUUUCCUUAUUUUCUCUUUCUCCCUCUUUGCCUAAAGCUUGUUGAGCAUUUCGCUUCGUGCCGUACGUUUUACGGGGUUGUUCCAAGUUUUCCUCAAUAACGAGAGUGUUAGGUAAAACAACAUUGCCUAUUAACGAAGCCAAAACAUCUCUAGCAGCCAGUAUGCCCGAAUCAAAUGCGCCGCGUAUCGAACCUGAAUUUUUUUGGGAAAUUGCUUCACUAGCAAAAAACACAGUAUUGUCAAUGGGCUCAGACAAUAUUGCAUAAUCCUCUUCCAAAAACAAAUUGGAUAUUUGAUAUGAUGAGUGAUUUGUAUAAGAAUUAUUCUCCCAGUUACUGAUAAUCGUUCGAAUAGGAUUUAUGGCUUCUGAUUUCGGUUUAUAAACUUUUUUAAGUUGAGAUACAAUCCCAUUCACUAUAUCAUCAUCCUUCAUAAAGUCGAUCCCUUCAACCUUCACAAAGACUGAUAAUGUGGGAUGUUCGUAAAAUCGAGUGCAAUCGUUAAAUAUAAAGUUUCUACCUGAAUC